rnacentral:lncRNA from 1 species
UGAUAACUUUCGCCGGAGCUCCCUGAAUGUCCGUUUGAGCUCAAACUUGACAGUCAUGUUCGGUUUUAUUUAACUUAACAAGCUGACGAUCGCUGGUUCAGUUUCGACCCCGUUUGGUCACUGAAAACUGUACCGAACUGUAAUCUUUAUCAGAUAACUGUCGGAUUUUAUUUCUCACUCUACGGGUGUCAGAAAAAUAUGAAACCUUAAAUCUAGCCUCAUAAAAAUAUUUCUGACAUCUCUGCCAAUUUUCAUAAUUUUCUGAGACUGUGCAUUUUCUGCUAAUUUAUCUGUCCCGUUUCCAACAGAAAAUUCUAAAUCUUCUGUUUUAAUUCCGAUUUCAGCACAAGUCACUUUUGACUUAUGUUUUACUUCUAUAAAUCCAAUAAAAAUAGUUUUCCACACUAUUUUUAUUUAGUUUUUAAUUUUAUACCAAAAUCUGGUAUGUUACACUACCCGGCGCGUGUCCAGACCCGCCAUACGUCUAAAACAUAUAAGGCGUCUAGAAA